rnacentral:rRNA from 1 species
UACGUAGGGUGCAAGCGUUGUCCGGAAUUACUGGGCGUAAAGCGCACGCAGGCGGUUCGCCAAGUUUGGAGUGACAGUUGUCGGCUCAACCGACAAAGGACUUCAAAAACUGGUGAACUUGAGGACGAGAGAGGAACAUGGAACUCCAGGUGUAGUAGUGAAAUGCGUAGAUAUCUGGAAGAACACCAAUGGCGAAGGCAAUGUUCUGGCUCGUUUCUGACGCUCAGGUGCGAAAGCCAGGGGAGCGAACGGG